rnacentral:rRNA from 2 species
CAACUUUCAACAACGGAUCUCUUGGCUCUCGCAUCGAUGAAGAACGCAGCGAAAUGCGAUAAGUAAUGUGAAUUGCAGAUUUUCAGUGAAUCAUCGAAUCUUUGAACGCACCUUGCGCUCCUUGGUAUUCCGAGGAGCAUGCCUGUUUGAGUGUCAUU